GGCGGCGGGAAGAAGCCGGUGCUUUGCAAUGGUAAAAGAUGUAAACCGAACGAGUAUUGCCAAGAAGGUCUAUUUGCACCCACGCAAUGUCUUCCGAAAGAUUACCGACGAUGACAACUUCCUACCCAUGAAAGAAAAUCGUUUCCGAAAGAAACCUGCCGCACGGAAAGAAACACAUGAGGAACAUGAGCGGCAUCAACCUUUUGACUGACUGAAUAAAGUUACUUGUACUCCCAAAA
rnacentral:lncRNA from 1 species